UCCGAGUUGUCCCCGGCAGUCUCCUUAGAGUCCCCGGCAUUACCCGCACAAGCAGCGGAGCAUGUGGUUUAAUUCGACGCAACGCGAAGAACCUUACCUGGGCUUGACAUGUUCCUGACCCCCCUGGAAACAGGGGUUCCCUUCGGGGCAGGAUCACAGGUGGUGCAUGGCUGUCGUCAGCUCGUGUCGUGAGAUGUUGGGUUAAGUCCCGCAACGAGCGCAACCCCCGUCGCAUGUUGCCAGCAUUAAGUUGGGGACUCAUGCGAGACUGCCGGUGACAAACCGGAGGAAGGUGGGGAUGAGUUUACGUGC
rnacentral:misc_RNA from 1 species